rnacentral:rRNA from 1 species
CACGCCGUAAACGAUGAGUGCUAGGUGUCGGGGGUUCACACCCUCGGUGCCGGAGUUAACGCAUUAAGCACUCCGCCUGGGGAGUACGGUCGCAAGACUGAAACUCAAAGGAAUUGACGGGGACCCGCACAAGCAGCGGAGCAUGUGGUUUAAUUCGAAGCAACGCGAAGAACCUUACCAGGACUUGACAUCCCUUUGCUAGGUUUGUAAUGGAACCCUUCCCUUCGGGGACAAAGGAGACAGGUGG